GACGAACGCUGGCGGCGUGCUUAACACAUGCAAGUCGAACGGAAAGGCCCUGCUUUUGUGGGGUGCUCGAGUGGCGAACGGGUGAGUAACACGUGAGUAACCUGCCCUUGACUUUGGGAUAACUUCAGGAAACUGGGGCUAAUACCGGAUAGGAGCUCCUGCUGCAUGGUGGGGGUUGGAAAGUUUCGGCGGUUGGGGAUGGACUCGCGGCUUAUCAGCUUGUUGGUGGGGGAGUGGCUUACCAAGGCCUUGACGGGUAGCCGGCCUGAGAGGGUGACCGGCCACAUUGGGACUGAGAUACGGCCCAGACUCCUACGGGAGGCAGCAGUGGGGAAUAUUGCACAAUGGGCGGAAGCCUGAUGCAGCAACGCCGCGUGCGGGAUGACGGCCUUCGGGUUGUAAACCGCUUUCGCCUGUGACGAAGCGUGAGUGACGGUAAUGGGUAAAGAAGCACCGGCUAACUACGUG
rnacentral:rRNA from 1 species